rnacentral:rRNA from 1 species
AACGAACGCUGGCGGCAUGCCUAACACAUGCAAGUCGAACGAGAGCUUCGAGUCUACUCCCGCACGGGUGGGUGACGGGUGGGGACCUGCCUAUAGGUUUGGCAUAACUCGCCGAAAGGGGUGCUAAUACGGGAUAAAGUCUCCCGACCAACGAUUGAUCGCCUUUGGAUGGGCCCGCGUUGUAUUAGCUCGUGGGUAGGGUAAACGCUUAUCAAUGGCACGAUCCAUAGCUGGUCUGAGAGGAGGAGCAGCCACACUGGUACUGAGACACGGCCCAGACUCUUACGCGAGGCAGCAGUGGGGAAUCUUGGACAAUGGGCGAAGGCCUGAUCCAGCAAUGCCGCGUGAGUGAUGAAGGCCGGAGGGUAGGAAAGCUCGUUUAUCCGGGACGAUAAUGACAGUACCGGGAGAAUAAGCUCCGGCUAACUCCGUG